rnacentral:rRNA from 1 species
GAUGAACGCUGGCGGCGUGCCUAAUACAUGCAAGUCGAGCGAAGCGGGGACGGGUGAGUAACAAAUGGGUAAGCUCCUAUAAGACUGGGAUAAAUUCGGGAAACCGGAGGUAUUAAGAAUACUUAUGGAUGGUCUCGCGCUGCAUUAGCUAGUUGGUAAGGGAACGGCUUCCCAAGGCAACGAUGCAUAGCCGACCUGGGAGGGUGAGCGGCCACACUGGAACUGAGACACGGUCCAGACUCCUACGGGAGGCAGCAGUAGGGAAUCUUCCGCAAUGGGCGAAAGCCUGACGGAGCAACGCCGCGUGAGUGAUGAAGGUCUUCGGAUCGUAAAACUCUGUUAUUAGGGAAGCGGUACCUAAUCAGAAAGCCACGGCUAACUACGUGCCAGCAGCCGCGGUAAUUC